GACGAACGCUGGCGGCGUGCUUAACACGUGCAAGUCGAACGGAAAGGCCCUGCUUUUGUGGGGUGCUCGAGUGGCGAACGGGUGAGUAACACGUGAGUAACCUGCCCUUGACUUAGGGAUAACUUCAGGAAACUGGGGCUAAUACCGGAUAGGAGCUCCUGCUGCAUGGUGGGGGUUGGAAAGUUUCGGCGGUUGGGGAUGGACUCGCGGCUUAUCAGCUUGUUGGUGGGGUAGUGGCUUACCAAGGCUUUGACGGGUAGCCGGCCUGAGAGGGUGACCGGCCACAUUGGGACUGAGAUACGGCCCAGACUCCUACGGGAGGCAGCAGUGGGGAAUAUUGCACAAUGGGCGGAAGCCUGAUGCAGCAACGCCGCGUGCGGGAUGACGGCCUUCGGGUUGUAAACCGCUUUCGCCUGUGACGAAGCGUGAGUGACGGUAAUGGGUAAAGAAGCACCGGCUAACUACGUG
rnacentral:rRNA from 1 species